GAUGAACGCUGGCGGCGUGCCUAAUACAUGCAAGUCGAGCGAACGGACGAGAAUCUUGCUUCUCUGAUGUUAGCGGCGGACGGGUGAGUAACACGUGGAUAACCUACCUAUAAGACUGGGAUAACUUCGGGAAACCGGAGCUAAUACCGGAUAAUAUUUUGAACCGCAUGGUUCAAAAGUGAAAGACGGUCUUGCUGUCACUUAUAGAUGGAUCCGCGCUGCAUUAGCUAGUUGGUAAGGUAACGGCUUACCAAGGCAACGAUGCAUAGCCGACCUGAGAGGGUGAUCGGCCACACUGGAACUGAGACACGGUCCAGACUCCUACGGGAGGCAGCAGUAGGGAAUCUUCCGCAAUGGGCGAAAGCCUGACGGAGCAACGCCGCGUGAGUGAUGAAGGUCUUCGGAUCGUAAAACUCUGUUAUUAGGGAAGGACAUAUGUGUAAGUAACUGUGCACAUCUUGACGGUACCUAAUCAGAAAGCCACGGCUAACUACGUG
rnacentral:rRNA from 1 species